AGGACGAACGCUGGCGGCGUGCUUAACACAUGCAAGUCGAGCGGAAAGGCCCUUCGGGGUACUCGAGCGGCGAACGGGUGAGUAACACGUGAGCAAUCUGCCCUUAGCUUCGGGAUAGCCCCGGGAAACCGGGAUUAAUACCGAAUACGACCUCGGCCGACAUCGGCCUUGGUGGAAAGUUUUUCGGCUAGGGAUGAACUCGCGGCCUAUCAGCUUGUUGGUGGGGUAAUAGCCUACCAAGGCGACGACGGGUAGCCGGCCUGAGAGGGCGACCGGCCACACUGGGACUGAGACACGGCCCAGACUCCUACGGGAGGCAGCAGUGGGGAAUAUUGCGCAAUGGGCGAAAGCCUGACGCAGCGACGCCGCGUGGGGGAUGAAGGCCUUCGGGUUGUAAACCCCUUUCACGCAGGGACGAAGCGAGAGUGACGGUACCUGCAGAAGAAGCGCCGGCUAACUACGCGCCAGCAGCCGC
rnacentral:rRNA from 1 species